UUUUUAUUCUGUAUGAAUAAUGUUUCCAAGCAGAAGUGCACUAAGUUAUUGCCUGAAAGCCAGUUGCCUGUUCGUUUAUUAAAGAAUCGUCUAUCAUGGCAAGAGUCAACUCUAUGUUUAGAGGAGAAAAUAACUUUUAUGACCUACAUGCAAGCCAGAAGUAUUUAAUGUGAAUUGAAUGGAUAGGAAUAGAGAUCUCUUUCAGAGCAGUGGAUGAAAUCUUC
rnacentral:lncRNA from 1 species